UCCCUGGUGGUCUGGUGGUUAGGACUCUGCACUUCAAAUGCAGAGGGCCCAGGGUUUGAUCCCUGGUCAGCAAA
rnacentral:tRNA from 1 species